rnacentral:rRNA from 1 species
GCAAGUCGAACGGCAGCACGGGGGCAACCCUGGUGGCGAGUGGGGAACGGGUGAGUAAUACAUCGGAACGUGUCCUGUAGUGGGGGAUAGCCCGGCGAAAGCCGGAUUAAUACCGCAUACGCUCUACGGAGGAAAGGGGGGGAUCUUAUGACCUCCCGCUACAGGGGCGGCCGAUGGGAGAUUAGCUAGUUGGUGGGGUAAAGGCCUACCAAGGCGACGAUCUGUAGCUGGUCUGAGAGGACGACCAGCCACACUGGGACUGAGACACGGCCCAGACUCCUACGGGAGGCAGCAGUGGGGAAUUUUGGACAAUGGGGGCAACCCUGAUCCAGCAAUGCCGCGUGUGUGAAGAAGGCCUUCGGGUUGUAAAGCACUUUUGUCCGGAAAGAAAACGCCGGGGUUAAUACCCGUGGCGGAUGACGGUACCGGAAGAAUAAGCACCGGCUAACUACGUGCCAGCAGCCGCGGUAAUACGUAUGGUGCAAGCGUUAAUCGGAAUUACUGGGCGUAAAGCGUGCGCAUGCGGGCCGCUUAGACAGAUGUGUAAUCUCCGGACUUAACCUCGGAACUGCUUCUUUGGACUGGCGUGCUCUUGCCUGGCAUAUGGGAGUAGAAUAACCCUUGUCCACGUGACUUGCGU